rnacentral:rRNA from 1 species
UACGAAGGGGGCGAGCGUUGUUCGGAUUUACUGGGCGUAAAGGGCGCGCAGGCGGCUCAUUUUGUCAGGCGUGAAAGCCCCGGGCUUAACCUGGGAACUGCGUUUGAUACGGAUGGGCUAGAGUUCGGGAGAGGAGAGUGGAAUUCCCAGUGUAGAGGUGAAAUUCGUAGAUAUUGGGAGGAACACCAGUGGCGAAGGCGGCUCACUGGACCGGUACUGACGCUGAGGCGCGAAAGCGUGGGGAGCAAACAGG